GACGAACGCUGGCGGCGUGCUUAACACAUGCAAGUCGAGCGGUAAGGCCCUUUCGGGGGUACACGAGCGGCGAACGGGUGAGUAACACGUGGGUGACCUGCCCUCAGCUCUGGGAUAAGCCCGGGAAACUGGGUCUAAUACUGGAUAUGACUCCAUGACGCAUGUUGUGGGGUGGAAAGCCUUGUGCGGCUGAGGAUGGGCCCGCGGCCUAUCAGCUUGUUGGUGGGGGAUGGCCACCAAGGCGACGACGGGUAGCCGGCCUGAGAGGGCGACCGGCCACACUGGGACUGAGACACGGCCCAGACUCCUACGGGAGGCAGCAGUGGGGAAUCUUGCGCAAUGGGCGAAAGCCUGACGCAGCGACGCCGCGUGAGGGAUGACGGCCU
rnacentral:rRNA from 1 species